CCCGGUCAAUUUUUUCCUUCAUCCACUAGUCAGUCAUGUAAGUGAAGAUGAGGCCAGAAUUUGCAACGACUGUCUUCUUUUUCUUCUCGCGCUUCCUGAUUGACCCGGACACCGUCGCCUAGCCAGGUUAUCGUUAUUAUCGGGGUUGGCCAAUCCGGGGAAAAGACACUGAGGAAUAAAAUUUAAAGAAGGAACAUUUCCACACAGUGCGGACCCUGGCAGCUUUCGUAGGCAUCUUAGGUGUUGCUGAAUCUGUUAUUUGAGUUUCUGCGUUUGUAGCUUCGUUGCCCUGCAGGGACUUGUGUCGGUGUUUGAAAAUUCUUCUGAGCUCUGGACUUGGCAGCGUAGCGAAAGCGCGGAACUCAUUUCAAAGACAGCGACGACGAGAAUCCUCACGGCGUAUUUAAGGGGCCAACGUUAUCGUACGUGCGCUGCAGCACGGAAGUGUGGCAGCAAACCAGUGAAACAGAUAAAGAAGGCCCAGAUCUUGUGCUCCGACCCCAGCAAUCACUGAUAUAACAUGAACGUGUGGUUCAACGGCAUGAAGCGGAAUACGGAGGAGGAAAUGGCGAAAGGGUGAGGAGAGAAGCGGAGUGCCGGCAAGAGCAGGCAUGCGGCCAGCGGGGAAACACAGAGUUGGCGUUGGCUCCACUGCGCAAGAACUACUUUGCCUG